UUCCCUCUCCAAUUUUCACUCACCAUCCCUAACAUCCUCAACGUCACUGUAGAACUGCUUGUUCCAAUUCCACAUGCUGCCUAUUUCCCCUUUUUAAUUAGGUUUUCAUUUCGGAACAAAAAAUGCUUAACUGAGACGUGUUUGGUUUCUUACUUCUCUAUUAAGUGUUUGUUUUUGUUGUGUUUGUGAUUUUCAGACAAUGAGAUGGAAUAAGCGAUGAAGAGGCAAUGUAAAAUUAAUUUGUAUGGAACUGCUUUUCCACUGAAGGAGGAGCUUGACAAGCAAAUAUUGUCUAGGUACCUGCUUUUGGAUUCGAUUAAUCUAUUGCAUAUUUUGGUAUAGUUUCUUAGAGUGUUUCGAAAUUUAAAGCGUUUCAGUAGUGAUAAUUUGACAUGAGUCCCUGUUUGUGUCGAUGGUUGCUGGUUAAUCCAUUCCUUGAUUUUCAGGCACAAAUCAUAUGCAUCUCUAUAUACGGGGCAUGGUGUAAGACCCGAGUUUUUAUUUGGUGUAUUUUGUUGAGAUGCAUGCUAUAUUUUUGUAAGAGUCGACUAUGGAUAGUUUGCUAAAUGAUAUAGACUCCAUAUACUUCUUGUUGGUCUAUGGUUUGUGACCGAUGAGCUUGAUUGCAAAUAUAUGUUAAGACUACAUGUUUCCUCUAAUUGCUAUAUGUAGUUGAUGGUGUGAGACUAAAUUUUUCCUUGGGAGGGCUGGAUGUGUAUAAAACACAAACAUUUUCUUUAAGUAAAGGAGAGAGAAAACAACAAGGAAGAAAGGAGUGAACGUGAGAGUUUUGGUGUGCAUUUGAGAGGCUGAGAAUCCAAGAGAAACAUGAGGCUUAAACCAACAAAGAAGGGACUGGGAAACUUAAGAGAAUCAGAGAACUUUGGCAGGAGAAAUUGGUAAGGGGAGCUGGCAGAAUCUUGUAUCCUGUGAUUUUUGGCAUGAUGAUUAUGAAUGAGUAUACAUAUUUGUGGUUGGAUGCGUUUCUGAUAUUGUUAUUACUAUCAUUAUGGACUUCUUUGAUGCAUUUUUUUUGCUAUACGUAUGAGUUGUAGAUGAUUUACAUGGUAAGCAUGUGUUGAUAUGUGUUUAAUAUGUGGAUGAUGGUUUGCAUGUAAAAGUUUAUUGUUGUAGUAAGACUUUAAUAAAAAUGGAAAUAGUACUCUAAGACAGCCAGAUGAGUUUGGCAAAGUAAAACUUUGGUAGAGGUCGCUGAAUUUGGUUGAAAGAUGAACUAAGUUGGAAGUAGUUUGUAGUGGUGCAAAUUCUGGAAAAUGUUUACAGAUGUUGGAGAGUUUUUCGGAAUGGUGCAAUAUAUCUUAUGAUGUAGUAACCUUUAGAUGGUUGUUCCAUUGCUUAAAAUUCCUAGAGAACUUUAUCUCAAAGGUUAGCAGAAAAAUUAAAAUGGAGAGGCAGAGUUAAUUGGCUGAACUUUUUAUGAGAAUUCAGCUUUCCGUUUGCUUGACUAGGUUCACUAUUUUGACUUAGUUAGAGUCCAGCUUGUUUUAAAUAAUUUGGGACAGUAGCUAGCACUAAAAUAGGAAGUGAUGAAGUUGGUUUUUCCUUACUGGAAUAAAGUUUACGUUGGGAGAAAUUCCUUGGUUGGAUGCAACGUUCCAGACUUUAUAGUUCGUGUAAAAGACGCAUGUUUUCCCUUGAUGUAGUGCUACUUUGAAGGUUAAUGUGAACUGCAAUUGGCUAGACCAGUGAGCUGGAAUUACUGCAGCGUUUUCCUCCUGGAUGGGACUUGAAUGAUGCUGGAACGUGACCAGAGCUGGUGUAGUUGCUACAUGAAUCAAAUGAAGCUAGUUUGGUUUGGUUUUGUUCAAUUGGUGCAAUGUUUCCUUUGCUGGACAGAAGUUUCUAGUGUUGCCACUCUUUCUUACGUCUAAAUAGAAAUAGGGUCAGUUUGGAUAAAAAAACAUAUAUAUGGCAGCAAGGAGGUCAAGUAAGCCGUUGUUUGGUGCCUUGUUUUUGGUGGAAUCAUUCUUUAUUUAGAUGAUGAAAUUAGAGAAAAUGUAAAUUAUGUUUUAGUGGGGUCAAGUGUUAGACUUUUGAAAGGUUUUCUUUAAAACAAAGCUUGCUAGACUUGAUUCAUGAGCCCAAACAGAAGCAACUUUUGGAGACCAUGCAGUGCAGCCUUUUUUGUUUGCUGCAGGAUAACCGUGAGCUGAAGGAGGGUUGGACCAUUUUUCUCACGUCAAGUUGACCAAGAGGAAGAUGUUAGAGCUACUAACAUUGAGAUACAGAGAUCAGAACAGCUACUGGAAUUUUUAGUUGGCACAAAACAACUCUCCCUUUUCUUUGAUCAAAACUAGUUUAACUACUAGACUCUUGUAGAGUUGGGGAGGUGCUUUCUAUCCAGAAUUUUCAUUGAGGCUUAAAACUAGAUUCUAAGAACUCUAGUUCUUUAGAAGAGUUAAAACAUGAUGAAGUUCAAGCUUUCUUGAACUGGACCGUUAGUUGGAAGGCACAAGGGUCUCUAGAAGGAACUGAACUUCGAGUAGGUGUUGUCUUUAGCUUAAGUGCUGCAGUAUUUUUGUUUCUUGAUUAUUUGAGAGCUGGAACAUGACUUUUAGGUGGUCUAUGGUGCAAAGAACCAAGUACCUUGAUCACAUGAGUUGAGCUAGUGGUGGAAUUUUCCUUUGUUGGCUGGUGCAGCUAUACUAGGAGGAAGUUCAUGCUGGUUUUCCAUGGUUGGUUCACGUUCUUGUCUUUCCUUUCUCUGGUUUUGUGGUGCAGCAUCAGAUUUGAGUUAUUUAAGCUAUGGUAAGACCUGUUUGGAGAAGAUUUUGAUCAUUAGAAAUAUGUGUCAUGGUAUAAGCAAAUUCACGUUAGUUUGGGUAGAUAGUGCAAUAGAAUUUUUUUGCAAUGUUUAAGUCAUAGAUAGAAUUGGCUAUAUUAUUCUAUUUGUUCACGUGAAAGUGGCAGAUUGUUGAUGCACUUUUUAUAUUUUCUUCCUAUAAAAUAAUAUGGCUGAAUGGUAAAUUCCUAUAGUCACUUUUUAUAUUUCAAUGGCCAUGACUAUACUUGUUUUAUGGUUCAUUAGAACAAAAUCUUAUACUUGUAGUCAUGGAGAUAAUUGUAAUCUUAUAUUUAAAUAUUCGAUACCGUUGACAUCUGCAAUGGUGGGAAAAAUGUUUUACAUGAUUUUAUAUAGCACCGAAAUGAAAUAGAUAUAUAGCUUAGUUUAUGAACGAAACACAACUUUUUUAAAAUAGAAAAACAUAUUUGACUCGUUUAAGAUUUGACGAGCAUUAUAAUUGAAAUGCUAUAGUUGAAGAUAAAUGCAUGGCAUGUAUGAACUAGGCUUAAUAUUUUUGAGCGACGUUAUUUCUAAUGAUUUGAGGCCUUUGAUUAUGAGUUUGGUAUCCAUGAUAAUAAGAAAUGCAAUCUUAACUGUUGCUGUUUUUUAUUAAUUGAGAUACGACGUGUUAUUGUUUUACUUCUGUCUCUCAAUAUCAUUGAUGUUAUUUGCAUAUCCCCAUGACUUGGAAACUUUUAGGCCUUCCGACAUGCAUCAUGGGAUGGAAGUUCGCCUUGGUCUAUCUUAGGGACCAAUGUACCCAAGUAUUAUAUAAUUAAAUUUUGAGUUUUACACUGGUACCCAAAAGUUGGCUUUUAUGGUAAAAUCAUCUUGUUAUUCUUUAAGAUGGAAGUGUCCAAGGAACCUACAUAUGCAAUCGUGGACUUAUGUUUUCCUUUGGGUUGGAUGCUAGAAAUGUUAUGGACUAUAUUAAACACAACAUGCCUUUUAGAGUAAAUGCAGAAUUUAUGCAUGAGGCGUUUGAGUUGAGUAUCCUUCUUUAAUUCUAAGUGUUAGUAACUUCUAGAAACUUGACUACAAUUUAGUAUUAUAUAUGUAGGUUAACGUAAUAUUUGGAUUGAAUAUAUAGUUUUAGGUUUAAUUGCUUCUUUUGUUCCGAGUUUGGUUGAAGUGUGUCAAAUUCGUCCCCCUUUUAGAAAAAUGUCAAUUUCGUCCUCAUAUAGAAAAAAUUUGUG
rnacentral:lncRNA from 1 species